rnacentral:rRNA from 1 species
UACGGGGGGGGCAAGCGUUGUUCGGAAUUACUGGGCGUAAAAGGCUCGUAGGCGGCCAACUAAGUCAGACGUGAAAUCCCUCGGCUUAACCGGGGAACUGCGUCUGAUACUGGAUGGCUUGAGGUUGGGAGAGGGAUGCGGAAUUCCAGGUGUAGCGGUGAAAUGCGUAGAUAUCGGGAGGAACACCUGUGGCGAAGGCGGCUUUCUGGGCCUUACCUGACGCUGAGACGCGAAAGCGUGGGGAGCGAACCGG